AGCCACAAGUUUUGGAGGGUAAUGGUAGCAGGGCGGUUGAAGAGAUUAAAGAUUGGAGAUUUGAUCAGCAAAUAGAGGGAAAUGAUUGGAGACCCGACGAGGGUGCAAAGGAAGAAGAUCCAGUUGAUUAUUGUCUCAAAGAGUUGAUAGAAUUUGAGAAUCAUCCUCCAAUAUUUUUCGAUGAAUGUGUUAUACCAGAUACAAUAUUAAGAGAAGAUUUUACGGAUGUUGGAGUCCAUAUAGAUGGAGAUUUUGGGUCAUGUUUA
rnacentral:misc_RNA from 1 species